GGAUAGGCUCAGUCAGCAGAGCAUGAGACUCAUAAUCUUAGGGUCGUGGGUUCAAGCCCCAUGUUUGGGCAACA